GUCUGUUUGUAGUUAUAAAAAGUUUAGCCUGCCCACUGAUAAUAAAGAUAUUUAAAGGGCCGCAGUAUCUUGACUGUGCAAAGGUAGCAUAAUCGUUAGUUUUUUAAUUGAAAUCUUGUAUGAAUGGUUUGACAAGAAAAAAUCUGUCUUUAUAAUUAUUUAUUGAAUUUAACUUUUAAGUGAAAAGGCUUAAAUAAAUUAAAAAGACGAUAAGACCCUAUAAAAUUUAAUAUUAAUUAAUUAUUUAGUAAAAUUUUGUUAUAUAAAUAUUUAAUAAUUAAUUAUUAUUUUGUUGGGGUGAUAAUGGUAAAAUGAUUAUUAACUGUUUAUUGUUUUACUACAAAAAUUGUUGUGUAUUUAAUAAAUGAUCCUUGUUGAAGAUUAAGAGUUUAAGUUACUUUAGGGAUAACAGCGUUAUUUUCUUUGAGAGUUCUUAUCGAGAAGAGAGUUUGCGACCUCGAUGUUGAAUUAAAAUAUCUAUAUAAUUGUAGCAGUUAUAUAAGAAGGUCUGUUCGACCUUUAAAUUUUUACAUGAUUUGAGUUCAAACCGGUGUAAG
rnacentral:rRNA from 1 species